UACGGGGGGGGCAAGCGUUGUUCGGAAUUACUGGGCGUAAAGGGCUCGUAGGCGGCCAACUAAGUCGGAUGUGAAAUCCCAGGCUUAACCUGGGAACUGCAUCCGAUACUGGAUGGCUUGAAUCCGGGAGAGGGAUGCGGAAUUCCAGGUGUAGCGGUGAAAUGCGUAGAUAUCUGGAGGAACACCGGUGGCGAAGGCGGCAUCCUGGACCGGCAUUGACGCUGAGGAGCGAAAGCCAGGGGAGCAAACAGG
rnacentral:rRNA from 1 species